UUGCAGCCCCCAGGCUGGGCGGGGGGCUGGGCUGGGCGAGAGUCUCUUCGAACGGCUCACCCUCAAGCACAACUAGGAGC
rnacentral:pre_miRNA from 1 species